GUCAGAGGUCAACACAAACACCACGACCAAUGGACCCCCAUUUAUCAGCACACCAUUGCCUGGCAUUCAUCUGACAGGGGCUCUGUCCAAUGUGCUUUGUUUGUUUGACUGAACGGCAAUUUGUAAGCUUCCAAUUAACAUUGGGGCCAUCCAUCGAGAGGUGGAGCAGCUUUUGGUGACCGGAAUCACACACGAUGGGCUCCAGAUGCUCCUGAAGAUCAGUUGCUGCUGAAUGUCCCAGGAAUUCAGAGAGACUCAUCAAAGAGGAGGACAUACUCUGAUUCAGCCUUCACUUUCUGCCUCAGUAGAGAUGAAAAGUGGGCAGCGAUGCCAAAUGUAGCCAGAAACAGAUUCAUACCAACGGAAGAUGAGAGAGUCUUCGCCAAAUCAGCGUGUCUCCUGUUUUUCCGGUGCGACUCCAGCGCUUUGACGCCCAUCUUUUCAAGCUGCUAACUCUGCUUGCACAGAUGGCAGUAAAAGAUAUGCCGAUCUUUUGGAUCUCGACGAACCCAGCUCCCAAACUCCUUACUUUCAACCCAAGCAUCUUGAAAAAUGCACUUCCCCAUGAUACAAGUUGGAUCGAUGAAAGAACUACGCUAC